CAGAGAAGAGGCCCAGACACAGAGAUGCAUUCGAGAAGGGGCCUUCAGAGCUCAGAACCCAGGAGCAGAGGCCUCCAGCAAGACCAGGGAAGAAACAGUCCUCUUGGGUCCCCCAGGAAGGGUCCCAGGAGCUGCAAGCAGGCCAGGAUCAGAGUGAGCUGGGGUUUCUGCCUUCCUGGGUUCCUGAAGUACCUGAAGGGCUGCAGCAGCUGGGCUCCAGAAAGGAGAUCAAGGGCCAGCAGGGGAGGCAACGAAAUCGGGGAACCGGGGAGGAUCAGCCUCCUGAGAGCUGCCAGGGCUCCGGAUAUCAAUCCACCCUCGGUCACCAGGCAGACAUGGUGCAGCCAGCAGAGCCUUGCUGCCGCUUGGCCAGCCGUGGCCAGCCACUGGGAGGCAGGCACCCCAAGGAGGCAGGUGUCCCACACAUCAGGCCACAGGAGGCUCCGCCAGAGCCCAGCCCAGGAGGACAUGGGGACAGCUCUCAGGAAGCAAUGCCCCCAAUGUCCAUCGUGGCUCCAGAGGAAAAGACAGCCAACCCCUUCCUGCCAUCCACGCCUGGACCUAAAAAACCAAAAGGAGGGAGUGAGGCUGUGGAGACCCAGCCAGCACCGGGGCCUCUUCCUCCACCAGUAAGUAGGGCCAUAGUGGGAAUGGGGAUGGGCUGUGUAGGGGAAGGGCAGGGGGGAUGAGGAGGAGGAAGAGGGCAGAGACAGAUAUGGCACGUCAAACCCCUAUUUGGAGUCAAACCAAGGAAGGUGUGUGUGGCUGUGUGUUAAAGUGCACAUGGACGCGCACACGUGUGUGUGUGUGUGCGCCUGUGUGUAUGCAUGUGUGUGUAUUCUGGGUGGGCGUCAAGAAUGCUCUUACACUCUGGAGCCCUUGGGUUCAUCCCAGGUGGUGGCCUGUUCCACAUCAGCAUGGAUUUCUUCCACCCAUUUGCCCUCGGCCACAGCCACACAAUCCAAAGCAUCCCUGAACACCUGGGAGGCUUCCCCGACCCCUCCCAGCCACCCUUCCCUCCCCCAGCUCUGCCACUUCCUAGUUCUUUGACCUGACCGGGCAACCUGCAAAUACACAGUCACUAGCAUGCAUGCCCUGCCAGCACCUGCCCUGUCUCAUCCUGCUCUGUUCAUUGGCAAAACCCCACCCUGGCUAAACCCACCCAGCCUUGUACCCAUGUUGAGCAACUCAAUGCGGUUGGAGAACAUCUUGUCUUAUUGAUGGGUUUCACUUUCAAGCAUUAACCACUCAUGUCAGAUGCUGCCUGCAAGUCUCACUUUUCCUUGGCCACACCGCCCUCUCCUCUGCUCCAGGUCAUCAUUUCACAACAGCAUCCCCCACACCCCUCAUGUCACUCAUGUGUCACUGACAAACAGAAGCAUCAGAUGAGAAGAAGCAUCCCCAAACCCACCACCCUCCCUGCCUUGAUUUGGCUGCAAUGGGAGCUGUGAAGAUGGGCCCCUGCUCCCAUGGCUGUCUCCCCAUUUAUUCAUUAGCUCUUGUCCCCUCCCCCCAUCACAUGAUCCCUCUCUGCGUUACUACAGGACAAUUCCAUCAGCAUACAAACAUGGCUUAGCCUCCACAAUAUCAAAAGCUGCCUUUCUUUCUUUUUUUCCUUUUUUUUGAGACAGAGUCUCUGUUGCCCAGGCUGGAGUGCAGUGGUGUGAUCACGGCUCACUGCAACCUCCACCUCCCGGGUUCAAGCUAGUCUCAGCCUCCCGAGUAGCUGGGACUACAGGCGUGCACAACCAUACCUGGGGUCAAAAGCCGUCUUUCUUUGCUCCUCUUUGCAGCCCCAUCCCUCAAUAAUUGUCCCCCUCACCUCCUCUGCUUGUCUUUUCUCAACACAUCCCCAUAUAAGAGCUUUUAUCGGGAUCUCCAUAAUCUCCAUCUGGCUUAUCAAAUGGAAGAGCUCUGUCCUUACAGAGCCCACCUCAAAACAGCAGAAGACACAGUGGCUCCCUCUCUCCUUCUCAAUGCUGCCUUCUCCAGGCUCCAUGACAGCCCUACCUUGGUUCUCCUCCCAUGUCACUAGCAACUCCUUCCCAGUCUCCCUCCCUAGUUCCUCCUCAUCUUCUCCACCCUCGGGGCUCCACCCUCUGCUCUCCCAUCUCCAUUCUCUCCCUGGAUGAUCUCAUUCAGUCCCUCUGAUGAUUCCCAAAUCCGUAUCUUCAGGCGAGACUUUGCCUUUUUUUUUUUCUUUUAAAUUGGCAGAGUCUCUGUUGCCCAGGCUGAAGUGCAGUGGUACAAUCUCAGCUCACUGCAACCUGUCUCUGAGGUUCAAGCAAUUCUCUUGCCUCAGCCUCCCGAGUACGUGGGAUUACAGGCAUGCACCACCUCACCCGGCUAAUUUCUGUAUUUUUAGUAAAGAUGGGGUUUCACCAUAUUGGCCAGGCUGCUCUCGAACUCCUUACCUCAGGUGAUCCGCCCGCCUCGGCCUCCCAAAGUGCUGGGAUUACGGGUGUGAGCCACCACACCCAGCCAUACACCUUGCCUUUAAAUUCCAUGUUCAUAUAUCCGAUGGCCUACUUGAAUUUCCUCUGGCUGGCUAAUUCACUUCUCAAACAUGACCACAGCAGUCUUCUUCAGCCCAGCAAAUGACACUGCCUUUCUCACCCGAGGGGCUCAUGCCACCCAGCUCAAAAUCACCUCUGAUUCCUCCUUUCCCCUCUAUAAUCCUUUCACAUGGAGACAAGCCCUGUUUAGUGCUACCUACAAAAUAAAUCCUGAAUCCGUCCCUUCCUUCCACCCCCUCUUUCAUUACCCUAGUCCAAGCCUCAUCUUCUUAGAAGAAGAUCCAAAAUCUUCACCAAGAGCCAUAAAGCCCUGUGUCUAGCCACUCUGGUCUAACUUCCAGCCCUUGAAUAUGCUAAGCCUAGUCUCUCCAAAGGCCUUUGAGUGUGCCUGUGCCUGAACUCCUCCCCAUAGACAGGCUUAUGGCUCUCUUGAGUCAUUCACUUUCAAUUUUGACAUCAGUUUUUCCACAAGGCCUUCCCUGGCCAGCCGAUCUCAAGGAGUCUGUCAGCCACACUCAGCCUAUCACAUUGCCCUGUUUUAUUGUCUUUGUAGUACUUUCUCCCUGACAUUAUCUUUAAGUUGUCAACCUAUUCAUCAUCUAGAACGCAAGCUCCCUGAGGGCAGCCUCGCUAGUUGACUUACUUCUCUAUGCUUUGUGCCUCAAACAAUGCCCAGCAUGUGGUAAGUACUCA
rnacentral:lncRNA from 1 species